UUCCGGGGCCUGUGUUUCGUACCU
rnacentral:siRNA from 1 species